rnacentral:rRNA from 1 species
GACGAACGCUGGCGGCGUGCUUAACACAUGCAAGUCGAACGGUAAGGCCCUUCGGGGUACACGAGUGGCGAACGGGUGAGUAACACGUGGGUGAUCUGCCCUGCACUUCGGGAUAAGCCUGGGAAACUGGGUCUAAUACCGGAUAGGACUCCGGACUGCAUGGUCUGGGGUGGAAAGCUUUUGCGGUGUGGGAUGGGCCCGCGGCCUAUCAGCUUGUUGGUGGGGUGAUGGCCUACCAAGGCGACGACGGGUAGCCGGCCUGAGAGGGUGACCGGCCAAACUGGGACUGAGAGACGGCCCAGACUCCUACGGGAGGCAGCAGUGGGGAAUAUUGCACAAUGGGCGCAAGCCUGAUGCAGCGACGCCGCGUGAGGGAUGACGGCCUUCGGGUUGUAAACCUCUUUCAGCAUCGACGAAGCGAAAGUGACGGUAGGUGCAGAAGAAGGACCGGCCAACUACGUGCCAGCAGCCGCCGUAA